UACGUAGGGACCAAGCGUUGUUCGGAUUUACUGGGCGUAAAGGGCGCGUAGGCGGCCACCGCAAGUCAAUUGUGAAAUCUCCGGGCUUAACUCGGAAAGGUCAACUGAUACUGCGGGGCUAGAGUGCGGAAGGGGCAACUGGAAUUCUCGGUGUAGCGGUGAAAUGCGUAGAUAUCGAGAGGAACACCUGCGGCGAAGGCGGGUUGCUGGGCCGACACUGACGCUGAGGCGCGAAAGCCAGGGGAGCGAACGGG
rnacentral:rRNA from 1 species